rnacentral:rRNA from 1 species
GACGAACGCUGGCGGCGUGCUUAACACAUGCAAGUCGAACGGAAAGGCCCUGCUUUUGUGGGGUGCUCGAGUGGCGAACGGGUGAGUAACACGUGGGUAACCUGCCCUUGACUUUGGGAUAACUUCAGGAAACUGGGGCUAAUACCGGAUAGGAGCUCCUGCUGCAUGGUGGGGGUUGGAAAGUUUCGGCGGUUGGGGAUGGACUCGCGGCUUAUCAGCUUGUUGGUGGGGUAGUGGCUUACCAAGGCUUUGACGGGUAGCCGGCCUGAGAGGGUGACCGGCCACAUUGGGACUGAGAUACGGCACAGACUCCUACGGGAGGCAGCAGUGGGGAAUAUUGCACAAUGGGCGGAAGCCUGAUGCAGCAACGCCGCGUGCGGGAUGACGGCCUUCGGGUUGUAAACCGCUUUCGCCUGUGACGAAGCGUGAGUGACGGUAAUGGGUAAAGAAGCACCGGCUAACUACGUG